UGUAGAAACGGGCGGAUGUGUGUAGAAACUGUCUUUCCGUUCCGAGUCUAAGAACGCGAUAUAGACAAGUGAUUGCGCGAGGAAGAUCAUAUCGAUGCGUGAUAAUAAUUAAUUUGCCCGUAUUAUUUUUCAAGUAAAAAUCGCUCGCGAAGCGCUCGAAGCGCGUUUUCGAAAGAAAUACCACGUCGAUUUUCGAAAGCUCGAGAGAUUCACGUGUUCAAGUUCGAUUUCCCGUCUGCAGUUAUGCGCGGACGAGUAGAGUUCGUCGUAUAAAUAAAUUUCAGUCACGAAUUUUAUUUAACGUUCGCGCGACACUAUGUGAUAAAUGAAAGUGCUCGUGCGACACACACACACACACACACACACACACAGUGAGUGCGGACUAGAAGUUAAAUGUGUAUAAUCACGCAUGCGACGUGGAUAAACGAAACGGAAGGAAGGAAGGAAGGAAGGAAGGCAGGAAGGGAGGAAAGUCGAAAGCGUACACGGAGUAGCGCGCAUUGCGAACUUAAUUGCGAAUCGAAUGAGUUUUUCCUUACAUAUAUGCACCCAGUCCACGUAACUAUGCGUUUGCGUCUUCAAACGUAGUUGCGCGUCGAUCGAGGCUUUUAUUUAAAAACGCAGGUUCGCAGGACAUUGUAAUUAUGAAACAAACGGUGCUCGUUAUCGCGUGCUUUUUGGGCUUUGUCUUAGCAGGAAGUCCUAGGUUACCUCGAACAUCCGCUGAUCAGCGUGGCACGCGUAGUGCAAGCCAGAAUAGUACCGGCGCGACGUUGCAGUCGUCUUCUCGCAAUUUGCAGCGAAAUAGGGAGCAAUACCUUUUCAAUGUCUUCGAGGUGAUAGUAUCAACUUUGGAAUCAAAAUUGCAACGAAUCGAGAAUUUAGAUAAAGCGGUGGAGCAUUUAAUGAGAAGAGUAGAGGCUUUAGAUUCACGCGUAAAUGAUAACAUUGACAAGACAGAUGCGGUCAUCACUAAACUAAGGACACUAGAUUUGAAGCUUUUCAAUGCGUAUCCUAUUAUGUCUACGGAAACUGUAACGAGGAUUACCGAAAGUAAGAGCGGAAGUAGUACGGAAGAUACCCCGUUGAUACGCGUGAUUCAUCACGAUAGAAACGAUCAGGGUCCGGAGACCCUCGGCGAAAAAUUGAUUUCCCUAGAUCAGAAAGUUUCCGACAUCGAUCAUAAGCUUGUCAAUCUUAAGAAUCAGCUCGACAACAAUUUCUUGCAAAACGACGAUAUAAAUGCCGAAGCGAGCGAGAAGAAACCCGUCAGUAUGAGCGUCAUCGAGAUCACCAAGGCUAUGAGUAACGAGGUGAUGAACCAUAUGACACUCGAGAUCGAGAAUCUUAAGCAAGCGACUGGUAGCAUGGAUCGAAAGUUACAGUUCCAUAUGAAUCUGGUGUCGGAUAAUCUUGGAGCGGUGUACAAUAUGAUCAGCGACGUGCACGAGGCUAUUGUCGAGAAAAAUAACGAGAACAAUCGGCAAAAUCGUCUUAAUUUGACAACGACCGAAGCCCCGACGAAACAAAGUAAAAUCGACCGUCUCGUCGAGCAAAUGUAUCCGAUGCUUACCGUCUCUGAGAAGAUGGAUCAAGUUUGGAACGUAGUGAUGGGGACCAAGAGCUCAGUGGACGAUCUACUGCCAAAAUCAGACGAGUUACUCACUCAAACGCAGAGGCAGGAGAGAGCGAUUAGCGAAAUUCACGCCGAUCUGAGAUCGAAAACGAAUAAGAUUAUAGAAAACCUGGAGGGUGUCGAAAGCCGCUUGAGGAAGCAAGAGGAUGACGUGGCCACUUUAGCGCAACGCCCGAUUCCGGCAGAAUUACUAUUGGAUCCAACAAUCGAUCGGCUCGUUGAAUAUGAUCCAAGCAGAUACGUGAGCGUAAGUGAAGAUUUUGUAACGGAGAUGCCCACGUCUACGCUACCAACCACCUCACCACCCUUGUCAACUACAACAUCAAUAUCAUCCGUUGCUUCACCCUCGAACAAUCCUACCAGUUCCACGACACCCAUGACCGCAACAUCUUCGAGUACCGCGAGACCGAGUGGCAGAAAUCGGGGUGUGAUAUUCCCGAGUGUCAAGAACAAACCGAGUUUAGCAAAUUCAACUUUCAUAAGCGACGUAUUAAUUAAUUAUAAGGACAUCAAGGGCUAUUCCUGCGUGGAUUUAUUAAACGGAGGAAUGAGAGAUAGUGGGGUAUAUUAUCUACAAAUACGCGGUACGACGUAUUGGUUCCUCAAGGUCUACUGCGAACAAGAAAUCGCCGAUGGUGGUUGGACAGUUAUUCAAAGGAGAGAUGAUUUCGGAGAGCCAAGGGAGAACUUUAAUAGAGAUUGGGCAGAUUAUAAAAACGGAUUUGGAGAUCCCGCCAAGGAAUUUUGGCUGGGCAAUGAAAAUAUAUAUAUGUUAACAAAUAAUGAAGAUUACAUGCUCAGAGUCGAACUUGAGGACUUCGAAGGUACGCGCAAUAUUCACAUUUUAAGAUUUACUCCGAGGGAGAGUAUUAUAAAUUGGAGAUAGAUGGUUACGAAGGAAACGCCGGGGAUUCAUUGAAUGAUCCUUGGUACGGAUCGAACAACAGCCCUUUCUCCACGUAUAACAGGGAUAAUGAUAGAUCGUCCUUGAAUUGCGCUUCAAUGCUCAAGGGUGGUUGGUGGUGGAAAUCUUGUGGACGUGGCUUAAAUGGCCUUUAUUUAAAUGAUCCACAAGAUCUUACUGCACGACAAGGUAUUGUAUGGUUCCGAUGGAGAGGUUGGGAUUAUACUUUAAAACGUGCAUUAAUGAUGAUUAAACCAAAAGGACUAGCGACAACAACAACAACAACAACGGUAUAAAAUUGUGUAAAAUUUGGAAUAUUAACUUAAUCGAAAUUUUUCUACGAUCAUUAAGUAACAACCAUGCACAUAGUAUUUAAAUUAUGUAUUGUAAAUGCAUGAACACGCUAUUAAUAUCGAAUUUCAAAGCACUUUUUUAAUUGUUUAUUCACUGUAUCUGUAUUUAAUUAAUUUAACAAAAUUGACUCAAAU